CUGGAUCCCUGGGUGGAUGCAUGUGUCAUCCUUAGAGAAGAUAUCAGUGUCACUCUGAGUUUGGGUUCACCCAGGACAUCCAGGUAAAGGCUGUUAGUAUCCAGCUGGUCUUCAUAGGGUUACGGUUCACCCAGGACAUCCAGGUAAAGGCUGUUAGUAUCCAGCUGGUCUUCAUAGGGUUACGGUUCACCCAGGACAUCCAGGUAAAGGCUGUUAGUAUCCAGCUGGUCUUCAUAGGGUUACGGUUCACCCAGGACAUCCAGGUAAAGGCUGUUAGUAUCCAGCUGGUCUUCAUAGGGUUACGGUUCACCCAGGACAUCCAGGUAAAGGCUGUUAGUAUCCAGCUGGUCUUCAUAGGGUUACGGUUCACCCAGGACAUCCAGGUAAAGGCUGUUAGUAUCCAGCUGGUCUUCAUAGGGUUACGGUUCACCCAGGACAUCCAGGUAAAGGCUGUUAGUAUCCAGCUGGUCUUCAUAGGGUUACGGUUCACCCAGGACAUCCAGGUAAAGGCUGUUAGUAUCCAGCUGGUCUUCAUAGGGUUACGGUUCACCCAGGACAUCCAGGUAAAGGCUGUUAGUAUCCAGCUGGUCUUCAUAGGGUUACGGUUCACCCAGGACAUCCAGGUAAAGGCUGUUAGUAUCCAGCUGGUCUUCAUAGGGUUACGGUUCACCCAGGACAUCCAGGUAAAGGCUGUUAGUAUCCAGCUGGUCUUCAUUGUGGAAUGAAACAAUGUCUGACCCUGCAUCAGUGGUUAGGGAAGGGUAACUUGUCCUCUACAUAUUUGUACAGUCCAUCAGUGAG